UACGUAGGGGGCUAGCGUUGUCCGGAAUCAUUGGGCGUAAAGAGCGUGUAGGCGGCCCGGUAAGUCCGCUGUGAAAGUCGGGGGCUCAACCCUCGAAUGCCGGUGGAUACUGUCGGGCUAGAGUGCGGAAGAGGCGAGUGGAAUUCCUGGUGUAGCGGUGAAAUGCGCAGACAUCAGGAGGAACACCGAUUGCGAAGGCAGCUCGCUGGGACGUAACUGACGCUGAGACGCGAAAGCGUGGGGAGCAAACAGG
rnacentral:rRNA from 1 species